CAUAUAUAUAUUUGAUUACUUUACAUGUAAGGUUUUCUACCAUAAAACAAUAAAACGAUUCUUUAAAGAAAAAAAUUACGAUGUCGCCAUCAAAAAUUGCGGUAGUUUGUAUCAUCCUCAUUUCACUCGCUAAUCUUCAUGAAUGCAAUUUUUCCAAAGAUGACAAGCCAUUGACAAAUCAUAGCACAAGAAGAAAGGUAUAACCACCAUGCAAACCACGAGGAGAUCAUUUCGUCUGCACAAACAUUCAAGACCUGAUAGUAUAUACCAUCGAAGGAUGCUGGAAUUAGUACUGUCAAACAAACUAAUUAACUAAUAAAUUUGAAGAGAAUUUAUAUACCAAUUUUUUCCUUAUAAUAAAAAAUAGUAAAUUUUCAUGUGA